GUGGGGAAUUUUGGACAAUGGGCGCAAGCCUGAUCCAGCCAUUCCGCGUGCAGGAUGAAGGCCUUCGGGUUGUAAACUGCUUUUGUACGGAACGAAAAGCCUCUGGUUAAUACCCGGGGGUCAUGACGGUACCGUAAGAAUAAGCACCGGCUAACUACGUGCCAGCAGCCGCGGUAAUACGUAGGGUGCGAGCGUUAAUCGGAAUUACUGGGCGUAAAGCGUGCGCAGCCGGUGAUGUAAGACAGUUGUGAAAUCCCCGGGCUCAACCUGGGAACUGCAUCUGGGACUGCAUUGCUGGAGUGCGGCAGAGGGGGAUGGAAUUCCGCGUGUAGCAGUGAAAUGCGUAGAUAUGCGGAGGAACACCGAUGGCGAAGGCAAUCCCCUGGGCCUGCACUGACGCUCAUGCACGAAAGCGUGGGGAGCAAACAGGAUUAGAAACCCGUGUAGUCC
rnacentral:rRNA from 1 species